rnacentral:tRNA from 1 species
GCCUGGCUGGCCGAGUAGGUAGAGCAUGUGACUCUUGAUCUUGAGGUCGUGAGUUCAAGCCCCACCUUGGGCA